rnacentral:rRNA from 1 species
UACGGAGGAUGCGAGCGUUAUCCGGAUUUAUUGGGUUUAAAGGGUGCGUAGGCGGGAUGCCAAGUCAGCGGUAAAAAUGCGGUGCUCAACGCCGUCGAGCCGUUGAAACUGGCGUUCUUGAGUGGGCGAGAAGUAUGCGGAAUGCGUGGUGUAGCGGUGAAAUGCAUAGAUAUCACGCAGAACUCCGAUUGCAAAGGCAGCAUACCGGCGCCCUACUGACGCUGAGGCACGAAAGCGUGGGUAUCGAACAGG